UGGGAGAGUAGGAGCCAAUCAGAAUUUAGCUUGGCCGUCACUGCGCUCCGAGUCACACACAGAGCAGCAAGGCUGUCUGCGUCCGUAAAACCUCAAGCUAUGGAGUAGAACAGGUUUAUAGAACUUCCCAGGGUUCGAGUGAUGGGGACCAUGCAGUUGGGGUCCUGUGGCCAGUGUGGGGACGGGAUAACACGAGAGUGACGGCACCCAGGCCAUUUCAACUUCCACCUACAUCCUUCGUCACAGACUCUUCUCAGACGGCUCAGACGCUUCGUGGAGACGUCA